AUGCAACGCGCGGCGAAGCCCAUUUUAGGCCCUGCGGUUGGUGGGAAUUUCUUAUCAUUUUGCCCUACGUGUCAACCCAGACCACCACAAGCGGAAGGUCAAUUCGCCGGCGCCGUCGCUUGGAGGGAGCGAGCUAGCCCGAUGGCGGCCGCGCUGCUGCGACACGUCCGGUGGCUCCUGGUCGAGCACCCCGCCGUCGCCUCCUUUCACUGGCGCCCGGGCACCACGCUCGCGGCGUCGCCGUCAUUCCCCGCCGCCGUCAUCUGCGCCUACCUCGCCACGGUGCUCCUCCUCCACCGCCGCAUCCUGCCCCUCCCGCCCCUCCCGCCGCGCGCCCUCCGCGCCGUCUCCGCGCUGCACAACUGCGUCCUCCUCGCCCUCUCCGCCGCGAUGGCCGCCGGCUGCGUGCUCUCCGCCGCGGCCACGGCGCCCUCGCCGCGCUGGGCCUUCUGCUUCCCGCCGGGCGGCGCCACGGAGCCGUCGGGCCCGGUCUUCUUCUGGGCGCACGUCUUCUACCUCUCCAAGAUGUACGAGCUCGGCGACACGCUGCUCAUCCUCCUCGCCCGCCGCCCGCUCACCCUGCUCCACGUCUACCACCACGCCCUCGUCAUCGCCAUGUGCUACCUCUGGCUCGCCACGCGCCAGUCGCUCAUGCCCGUCGCGCUCGUCACCAACGCCGCCGUCCACGUCGUCAUGUACGCCUACUACCUCUGCUGCACCCUCGGCCUCCGCUGGCCGCCGCGAUGGAAGCGCGCCGUCACCGAGCUGCAGAUCCUGCAGUUCCUCUUCAGCUUCGCCGCCUCCGUCGUCAUGCUCUGGUUCCACUUUGCCGGCGGCGGGUGCGAGGGGAUGGCAGGGUGGGCCUUCAACGCCGUCUUCAACGCCUCCCUGCUCGCGCUCUUCCUCGACUUCCACGGCGCCGCCUACGCCGCCAAGGCCAACAAGACAAACAUCAACAAUGGCAAUGGGGGGAAAUCAGAGUGA
rnacentral:rRNA from 1 species